rnacentral:rRNA from 1 species
UACGGAGGGUGCGAGCGUUGUCCGGAAUCACUGGGCGUAAAGGGCGCGUAGGUGGCCGAGCAAGGUCGCGGUGAAAGCCCGGGGCUCAACUGGGGAGGGUCAUUCGAUACUGAUCGACUCGAAGGCAGGAGAGGGUAGUGGAAUUCCCGGUGUAGUGGUGAAAUGCGUAGAUAUCGGGAGGAACACCAGUGGCGAAGGCGACUACCUGGCCUGUUCUUGACGCUGAGGCGCGAAAGCUAGGGGAGCGAACAGG